AGGACGAACGCUGGCGGCGUGCUUAACGCAUGCAAGUCGAGCGGUAAGGCUCCUUCGGGAGUACACGAGCGGCGAACGGGUGAGUAACACAUGAGCAAUCUGCCCUUCUCUUCGGAAUAACCAUUGGAAACGAUGGCUAAUGCCGAAUACGACCUCCUUUCGCAUGAUCGGAGGUGGAAAGCUCCGGCGGAGAAGGAUGAGCUCGCGGCCUAUCAGCUAGUUGGCGGGGUAACGGCCCACCAAGGCGACGACGGGUAGCCGGCCUGAGAGGGUGACCGGCCACACUGGGACUGAGACACGGCCCAGACUCCUACGGGAGGCAGCAGUGGGGAAUAUUGGACAAUGGGCGAAAAGCCUGAUCCAGCAACGCCGCGUGAGGGAUGACGGCCUCGGUGUAAACCGUCUUUCUAGCAGGACGAAGCGAAAGUGACGUACCUGCAGAAGAAGGACGGACCGAACUACGUAGCCAGCAGCCGC
rnacentral:rRNA from 1 species